UGAACGCUGGCGGCGUGCCUAACACAUGCAAGUCGUACGAGAAAUCUUUCGCUUGCGGAAGAGAGUAAAGUGGCGAACGGGUGAGUAACACGUGGGUAAUUUACCUCUGAAUUCGGAAUAACUUCGCGAAAGCGACGCUAAUACCGAAUGAUAUCCAGAGUACUUCGGUACAUUGGAUCAAAGGUGGCCUCUACAUGUAAGCUACUGUUUGGAGAUGAGCCCGCGCACCAUUAGUUUGUUGGUGAGGUAAAAGCUUACCAAGACUACAAUGGUUAGCUGGUCUGAGAGGAUGAUCAGCCACACUGGAACUGAGACACGGUCCAGACUCCUACGGGAGGCAGCAGUGAGGAAUCUUGCGCAAUGGGGGAAACCCUGACGCAGCAACGCCGCGUGAGUGAAGAAGGCUUUCGGGUCGUAAAGCUCUGUCAAGUGGGAAGAACCUGUUUAAUGUUAAUAUCAUUAGACACUGACGGUACCACUGAAGGAAGCACCGGCUAACUCC
rnacentral:rRNA from 1 species